rnacentral:rRNA from 1 species
ACGAACGCUGGCGGCAUGCCUAACACAUGCAAGUCGAACGGGAUCCUGGCUUCGGUCAGGUGAGAGUGGCGGACGGGUGAGUAACGCGUGGGAACCUGCCCAGUGGUGGGGGAUAACUGCGGGAAACUGCAGCUAAUACCGCAUGAGCCCGAGAGGGGAAAGAUUUAUCGCCAUUGGAGGGGCCCGCGUUCGAUUAGGUAGUUGGUGAGGUAAUGGCUCACCAAGCCUUCGAUCGAUAGCUGGUCUGAGAGGAUGAUCAGCCACACUGGGACUGAGAUACGGCCCAGACUCCUACGGGAGGCAGCAGUGGGGAAUAUUGGACAAUGGGGGCAACCCUGAUCCAGCAAUGCCGCGUGAGUGAUGAAGGCCUUCGGGUUGUAAAGCUCUUUUGGCGGGGACGAUGAUGACGGUACCCGCAGAAUAAGCCCCGGCUAACUUCGU